rnacentral:sRNA from 1 species
GCCGGGCGUGGUGGUGCGUGCUUGUAAUCCCAGCUACUGGGGAGGCUGAGGCAGGAGAAUUGCUUGAACCCAGGAGACAGGCUGCAGUGAGCAGUGAUCCCGCCACUGCACUCCAGCCUGGGAGACAGAGUGAGACCCUGUCUCAC